UACGUAGGGUGCGAGCGUUAAUCGGAAUUACUGGGCGUAAAGCGUGCGCAGGCGGUUUUGUAAGUCAGAUGUGAAAGCCCCGGGCUCAACCUGGGAAUGGCAUUUGGGACUGCAAGGCUUGAGUGCGGCAGAGGAGACUGGAAUUCCUGGUGUAGCAGUGAAAUGCGUAGAUAUCAGGAGGAAUACCGAUGGCGAAGGCAGGUCUCUGGGCUGACACUGACGCUCAUGCACGAAAGCGUGGGGAGCAAACAGG
rnacentral:rRNA from 1 species